UUAUUGCAGGGCCUCUUUUCCUCUUUUAGAGAAGAGGUCCACAAGGACCCUGACAAGUUAGAGGGAGGAGGCCAAUGGAUUUUGAAAGCAAUAGCUGGAUUGGGGAGAGACUGUUUUACUACCCCAGGCUUUUUGGUGGAGUCAUGCUAACUGCAGCCUUGCUCGGGGUGUCAACUAGCUAUUUAACAGGGAUCAGUGCUCCUACACUACCCCACAUUUUACCCAAUCUAAGUAUCUUUCGUAAAAAGAAGCGCGGGAAGAAGCGUAUUCGUGUUUAUGUGGAUGGGUGUUUUGAUCUAAUGCAUUAUGGUCAUGCAAAUGCGAUAAGACAAGCAAAAGAAUUAGGAGAUGAGUUAAUAGUUGGAGUUGUUAGUGAUGAAGAAAUUGUAGCUAAUAAGGGUCCACCGGUUUUAUGCAUGGAAGAAAGACUCGCCCUUGUUAGUGGGUUGAAGUGGGUGGAUGAAGUAAUUGCCAAUGCUCCUUAUGCAAUUACUGAAGAUUUUAUGAACCGUCUGUUUACUGAGCAUAAGAUUGAUUACAUUAUACACGGUGAUGAUCCCUGUCUACUGCCCGAUGGAACUGAUGCGUAUGCACUAGCAAAGAAAGCUGGUCGUUACAAGCAGAUUAAACGCACUGAAGGUGUCUCCAGCACAG
rnacentral:misc_RNA from 1 species